UGAUCCUGGCUCAGAUUGAACGCUGGCGGCAGGCCUAACACAUGCAAGUCGAGCGGUAGAGAGGUGCUUGCACCUCUUGAGAGCGGCGGACGGGUGAGUAAUGCCUAGGAAUCUGCCUGGUAGUGGGGGAUAACGCUCGGAAACGGACGCUAAUACCGCAUACGUCCUACGGGAGAAAGCAGGGGACCUUCGGGCCUUGCGCUAUCAGAUGAGCCUAGGUCGGAUUAGCUAGUUGGUGAGGUAAUGGCUCACCAAGGCGACGAUCCGUAACUGGUCUGAGAGGAUGAUCAGUCACACUGGAACUGAGACACGGUCCAGAUCUACGGGAGGCAGCAGUGGGGAAUAUUGGACAAUGGGCGAAAGCCUGAUCCAGCCAUGCCGCGUGUGUGAAGAAGGUCUUCGGAUUGUAAAGCACUUUAAGUUGGGAGGAAGGGCAGUUACCUAAUACGUAAUUGUUUUGACGUUACCGACAGAAUAAGCACCGGCUAACUCUGUGCCAGCAGGGUUCAGAGGGGCAAGCUUAAUCGGAAUUACUGGGCGUAAAGCGCGCGUAGGUGGUUCGUUAAGUUGGAUGUGAAAGCGGGCUCAACCUGGGAACCUUAACGAGCUAGAGUAUGGUAGAGGGUGGUGGAAACAGAUAUAGGAAGGAACACCAGUGCAAGGCGACCACCGAC
rnacentral:rRNA from 1 species